CCUCAACCUAACGAAGCCAUACCGAGGACUCUUCCUCGGAGCCUUCUCCCGCUCCGCCCGCUCAUUGGUUCGUGUCACACCGGUCCACCCCUGGACGGCGUGACCUGGCAAGGCUGGCAAGCGGGGCCCUAGCCUGGGUGUGAGUGUGUGGGGUUUAAAAGGACCAGCCUAUUGGUCGAGUGAGUCAUGCGUGUGAAUCACUUUUCUUGUAUCUGAACUUUCCUCUGAAAUCCAAACCCCUUCUCCAAGCUCAUCCCCUUCCUCACCUGCUCCAUCUCACCCACUUAGAUCACCGAUCCCCUCUCAGAUCGGGGGUGUUACAUUGGUAUUCAGAGCCAAAAAAAUUCUUCCCCUCGCCGCCGCUGCACCUUCUGAAGCUUGGGAGGUGGAUCGGUAACACCCACCGCGCACGGUGCGAGUCCGCUCGCCGGAUCUCGCCCGAAAUCCGUCACGGGGUUCGAUCCCCUCAUUGGUUCGUCAGCCCCGCGUCCCCAUCACGGUGGCGACACGACGGAGGGCGCCAACAACAAGGAUGCCACCUAGGGGUGGCGGGGGAGCCACCGACGGGCGAGCUCUUGCUAUGGACGCGCCGAUGGGAGGGGUCCAGGAGCCACCACAGCAGCAGGAGAGUCUUCCUAGAGAGCGGGAACGGAGAGGACUCGCUCGGCAGCAGCGACGGUGAUCUCAACGGUCUUGCCGACCUCACCCACCUGGCCGUUAUGUUUUCGCACUGUUGCUGGGCGUACCUUCCGGGACCACAGAGCUGUCUGGUACAAGUUUGGACAGCAAAGCUCUGCAUGCUCGGGUGCUCACUCUGACGCCUAACGCCCUGCCUUUCCGGUAUCCUCUUCCUCGUUGGUUCCGACAUAGUUUGUUUCAGCCAUUGGCAAGAAGACUCACAUCAACAUUGUGGUCAUUUGGCAUCUUGACUCUGGCAAGUCGGCCACCACUGGGCCAUCUGAUGUACAAGCUUGGAGGUAUUGACAAGAGGUUGGAGAGGAAGCUCCUAAGAUGAAUAAGAUAAUCAUUCAAAUACGCGUGGGUGCUUGGCAAGAUGAAGGCCCAUCGGAGUUUGAUGCCCCCGAAACUAAAUCUGCAUUGUGUGCAGUGGAUUAGGAUAAAGUUUUUGGUUGGUAGUUGUUUAAAGAUCAUGUUGUUGCUCGAGUCCAAUACUCUAGACUGUGUAGUGUUUAAAGAACCCAUGACAUUUGUACACAUCUCUUCUCAGCUACAUAACAUAUUUCUCGCUCGUUAAACAAGAAAAUGGCUGGGACUUGCUUAUGUGCAAUUUGCAGUGCCUCAUUGGAUUUAUCGUGUAUAUCAACCUAUUUAUUAUCAACAUUUUUUUGGAGGACAUGUGUGAACUUGAUA